rnacentral:rRNA from 1 species
UACGUAGGGUGCAAGCGUUGUCCGGAAUUAUUGGGCGUAAAGAGCUCGUAGGCGGUUUGUCGCGUCUGCUGUGAAAACCCGAGGCUCAACCUCGGGCCUGCAGUGGGUACGGGCAGACUAGAGUGCGGUAGGGGGAGAUUGGAAUUCCUGGUGUAGCGGUGGAAUGCGCAGAUAUCAGGAGGAACACCGAUGGCGAAGGCAGAUCUCUGGGCCGUAACUGACGCUGAGGAGCGAAAGCAUGGGGGAGCGAACAGG